rnacentral:rRNA from 1 species
GGUCAAGUGAAGAAGCGCAUACGGUGGAUGCCUUGGCAGUCAGAGGCGAUGAAAGACGUGGUAGCCUGCGAAAAGCUUCGGGGAGUCGGCAAACAGACUUUGAUCCGGAGAUGUCUGAAUGGGGGGAACCCAGCCAUCAUAAGAUGGUUAUCUUGUACUGAAUACAUAGGUGCAAGAGGCGAACCAGGGGAACUGAAACAUCUAAGUACCCUGAGGAAAAGAAAUCAACCGAGAUUCCCUUAGUAGUGGCGAGCGAACGGGGACUAGCCCUUAAGUGGCUUUGAGAUUAGCGGAACGCUCUGGAAAGUGCGGCCAUAGUGGGUGAUAGCCCUGUACGCGAAAAUCUCUUAGUCAUGAAAUCGAGUAGGACGGAGCACGAGAAACUUUGUCUGAAUAUGGGGGGACCAUCCUCCAAGGCUAAAUACUACUGACUGACCGAUAGUGAACUAGUACCGUGAGGGAAAGGCGAAAAAGAACCCCGGAGAGGGGGAGUGAAAUAGAUCCUGAAACCGUAUGCGUACAAGCAGUGGGAGCAGACUUUGUUCUGUGACUGCGUACCUUUUGUAUAAUGGGUCAGCGACUUAUUUUCAGUGGCGAGCUUAACCGAAUAGGGGAGGCGUAGCGAAAGCGAGUCUUAAUAGGGCGUCUAGUCGCUGGGAAUAGACCCGAAACCGGGCGAUCUAUCCAUGGGCAGGUUGAAGGUUAGGUAACACUGACUGGAGGACCGAACCGACUACCGUUGAAAAGUUAGCGGAUGACCUGUGGAUCGGAGUGAAAGGCUAAUCAAGCUCGGAGAUAGCUGGUUCUCCUCGAAAGCUAUUUAGGUAGCGCCUCAUGUAUCACUGUAGGGGGGUAGAGCACUGUUUCGGCUAGGGGGUCAUCCCGACUUACCAAACCGAUGCAAACUCCGAAUACCUACAAGUGCCGAGCAUGGGAGACACACGGCGGGUGCUAACGUCCGUCGUGAAAAGGGAAACAACCCAGACCGUCAGCUAAGGUCCCAAAGUUAUGGUUAAGUGGGAAACGAUGUGGGAAGGCUUAGACAGCUAGGAGGUUGGCUUAGAAGCAGCCACCCUUUAAAGAAAGCGUAAUAGCUCACUAGUCGAGUCGGCCUGCGCGGAAGAUGUAACGGGGCUCAAACCAUACACCGAAGCUACGGGUAUCACGUAAGUGAUGCGGUAGAGGAGCGUUCUGUAAGCCUGUGAAGGUGAGUUGAGAAGCUUGCUGGAGGUAUCAGAAGUGCGAAUGCUGACAUGAGUAACGACAAUGGGUGUGAAAAACACCCACGCCGAAAGACCAAGGUUUCCUGCGCAACGUUAAUCGACGCAGGGUUAGUCGGUCCCUAAGGCGAGGCUGAAAAGCGUAGUCGAUGGAAAACAGGUUAAUAUUCCUGUACUUCUGGUUAUUGCGAUGGAGGGACGGAGAAGGCUAGGCCAGCUUGGCGUUGGUUGUCCAAGUUUAAGGUGGUAGGCUGGAAUCUUAGGUAAAUCCGGGAUUCUAAGGCCGAGAGCUGAUGACGAGUUGCCUUUAGGCGACGAAGUGGUUGAUGCCAUGCUUCCAAGAAAAGCUUCUAAGCUUCAGAUAACCAGGAACCGUACCCCAAACCGACACAGGUGGUUGGGUAGAGAAUACCAAGGCGCUUGAGAGAACUCGGGUGAAGGAACUAGGCAAAAUGGCACCGUAACUUCGGGAGAAGGUGCGCCGGUGAGGGUGAAGCACUUGCUGCGUAAGCCCACGCCGGUCGAAGAUACCAGGCCGCUGCGACUGUUUAUUAAAAACACAGCACUCUGCAAACACGAAAGUGGACGUAUAGGGUGUGACGCCUGCCCGGUGCCGGAAGGUUAAUUGAUGGGGUUAGCUAACGCGAAGCUCUUGAUCGAAGCCCCGGUAAACGGCGGCCGUAACUAUAACGGUCCUAAGGUAGCGAAAUUCCUUGUCGGGUAAGUUCCGACCUGCACGAAUGGCGUAACGAUGGCGGCGCUGUCUCCACCCGAGACUCAGUGAAAUUGAAAUCGCUGUGAAGAUGCAGUGUAUCCGCGGCUAGACGGAAAGACCCCGUGAACCUUUACUAUAGCUUUGCACUGGACUUUGAAUUUGCUUGUGUAGGAUAGGUGGGAGGCUUUGAAGCGUGGACGCCAGUUCGCGUGGAGCCAUCCUUGAAAUACCACCCUGGCAACUUUGAGGUUCUAACUCAGGUCCGUUAUCCGGAUCGAGGACAGUGUAUGGUGGGUAGUUUGACUGGGGCGGUCUCCUCCUAAAGAGUAACGGAGGAGUACGAAGGUGCGCUCAGACCGGUCGGAAAUCGGUCGUAGAGUAUAAAGGCAAAAGCGCGCUUGACUGCGAGACAGACACGUCGAGCAGGUACGAAAAGUAGGUCUUAGUGAUCCGGUGGUUCUGUAUGGAAGGGCCAUCGCUCAACGGAUAAAAGGUACUCCGGGGAUAACAGGCUGAUACCGCCCAAGAGUUCAUAUCGACGGCGGUGUUUGGCACCUCGAUGUCGGCUCAUCACAUCCUGGGGCUGAAGCCGGUCCCAAGGGUAUGGCUGUUCGCCAUUUAAAGUGGUACGCGAGCUGGGUUUAGAACGUCGUGAGACAGUUCGGUCCCCUAUCUGCCGUGGACGUUUGAGAUUUGAGAGGGGCUGCUCCUAGUACGAGAGGACCGGAGUGGACGAACCUCUGGUGUUCCGGUUGUCACGCCAGUGGCAUUGCCGGGUAGCUAUGUUCGGGAAAGAUAACCGCUGAAAGCAUCUAAGCGGGAAACUUGCCUCAAGAUGAGAUCUCACUGGAACCUUGAGUUCCCUGAAGGGCCGUCGAAGACUACGACGUUGAUAGGUUGGGUGUGUAAGCGCUGUGAGGCGUUGAGCUAACCAAUACUAAUUGCCCGUGAGGCUUGACCAU